CCUACGGGAGGCAGCAGUGAGGAAUAUUGGUCAAUGGACGAGAGUCUGAACCAGCCAAGUAGCGUGAAGGAUGACUGCCCUAUGGGUUGUAAACUUCUUUUAUAUGGGAAUAAAAUGUUCCACGUGUGGGAUUUUGUAUGUACCAUAUGAAUAAGGAUCGGCUAACUCCGUGCCAGCAGCCGCGGUAAUACGGAGGAUCCGAGAGUUAUACGGUUUUAUUGGGUUUAAAGGGAGCGUAGGUGGAUUGUUAAGUCAGUUGUGAAAGUUUGCGGCUCAACCGUAAAAUUGCAGUUGAGGCUGGCAGUCUGGAGUACAGUAGAGGUGGGCGGAAUUCGUGGUGUAGCGGUGAAAUGCUUAGAUAUCACGAAGAACUCCGAUUGCGAAGGCAGCUCACUGGACUGCAACUGACACUGAGGCUCGAAAGUGUGGGUAUCAAACAGGAUUAGAUACCCUUGUAGUC
rnacentral:rRNA from 1 species